AUUGAACGCUGGCGGCAUGCCUUACACAUGCAAGUCGAACGGUAACGCGGGGCAACCUGGCGACGAGUGGCGAACGGGUGAGUAAUGUAUCGGAACGUGCCCAGUUGUGGGGGAUAACUGCUCGAAAGAGCAGCUAAUACCGCAUACGACCUGAGGGUGAAAGCGGGGGAUCGCAAGACCUCGCGCAAUUGGAGCGGCCGAUAUCAGAUUAGGUAGUUGGUGGGGUAAAGGCUCACCAAGCCAACGAUCUGUAGCUGGUCUGAGAGGACGACCAGCCACACUGGGACUGAGACACGGCCCAGACUCCUACGGGAGGCAGCAGUGGGGAAUUUUGGACAAUGGGCGCAAGCCUGAUCCAGCCAUGCCGCGUGCGGGAAGAAGGCCUUCGGGUUGUAAACCGCUUUUGUCAGGGAAGAAAAGACUCCUGUUAAUACCGGGGGUUCAUGACGGUACCUGAGGAAUAAGCACCGGCUAACUACGUGCCAGCAGCCGCGGUAA
rnacentral:rRNA from 1 species